rnacentral:rRNA from 1 species
UACAGAGGUCUCAAGCGUUGUUCGGAUUCAUUGGGCGUAAAGGGUGCGCAGGCGGUGUGAUAAGUUGAGUGUGAAAUCCCGGGGCUUAACCUCGGAACUGCACUCAAUACUGUCAUGCUAGAGGAAUGUAGAGGAGAGUGGAAUUCACGGUGUAGCAGUGAAAUGCGUAGAUAUCGUGAGGAAGACCAGUUGCGAAGGCGACUCUCUGGGCAUUUCCUGACGCUCAUGCACGAAGGCCAGGGGAGCAAACGGG